GUGCUCGCUUCGGCAGCAUAUAUACUAAAAUUGGAAUGAUACAGAGAAGAUUAGCAUGGCCCCUGCACAAGCAUGACACACAAAUUCAUGAAGCGCUCCAUAUUUUU
rfam:Canis lupus familiaris chromosome 10, whole genome shotgun sequence.